CACCAGCAUGUUGUGCUACUGAUAGCAGACACCAACUAUGCAUAGAACUAAUUCAAAAUAAAGAAAAAUGGUCCAGCAAUAAAGUUGUGUUGUUUUAUUAUUGCGUAGUACAAGGCCAAAAUUGUGCGGUUAUAAUGUGAAACUAGAGAUCCAACCAAAACAAUUUGACCCCUGAAAUUCAAGCAUGUGCUAUAAUAAUGAAAAUAUAUUGUUUGUUAAAUUCACAAAUCAACAGUAAUUUUCCCAUGAGUUUCCC